ACACCACCCUGCAUUCAUUUUUCAAAACAGAGAGAAGGCUCUCAACCCCCCUCUCAUAUUGCGAUUCACUCCCAAAUUCGGUAGAUCACCACCGCCGGCUUCGCCAUCAGCGACCCUCAUGCAUGGCGGCCGGAGCCCCUUUUCCAGGCGAAGAAAGGUACCUCCUUCCUUUUUUAUUUCACGAAAUAUGUGUAGAUAUAUAUAUAUAUAUAUAUAAGAUUCAAAAGUAAAAUAAAUAGAGCAAAUAAAAGAAAGUAAAACCAUAGAAUAACUCCCUUGAUCUGUUUUUAUUUCCUGAAGUGCUCUCCAUUGUAUGUAGUACAACUGUUCGUUUUUUUUAAGGAAAAAACCCUCCUUCUAGUACCAUCUGUCCUCCUCUUUUACAAUGAAAAAUUGAAGGCUUUAUAGCCAAAAACCAUACAUUUUCCACCUAUCUCUUUGCUCCAAUUACAGGUGUUGCAGUUGUGGAGAACGAAGGGCGUGAAACAUGGGUGAAAACAUGGAGCGGGACAUACGGGAAUCAUGAAUGGAGUAAGUGGAGGUAUGGGCAAUGGGACAGGGCAAGUUGGCCGACAGUCAAGCAUAGGGAUGAUGGCUAGGUUUUUUUUAGUCUUCUUCUUUCCUUUUUUUUUAAUUGCUAUGGGCUAGCGUUAAAGGGUUUUGGGCUGUUGGGUUUUUAGAUGUUGGGCUUUUUAGCCCGGGCAAAAUUUGGGUUGUACAGCUGCCCCUCUUUGCUUGUUGUCGUGUAACAAGAACAGAGCAAAGACUAUAAAAGGACCAAUUUUGCCCGACCUCGCCGAGUCUUGAGUUCUUGAUCCUUGAUCUUCUUUAAAUGGCCUCUUGACGGCUUCAAUCUGCUUCACUGCAACUCAGGAAGGCGAUUUCUACUAUCUUUGAUCUGCUCCCCGUCUAAUACAAAGACGUAAAAUCUAUUAUCUUCGAUCUGCUCCCCGUCUAAUACAGAAACGCCAAAUUUGC
rnacentral:lncRNA from 1 species